rnacentral:rRNA from 1 species
AUUGAACGCUGGCGGCAGGCCUAACACAUGCAAGUCGAACGAGUGGCGGACGGGUGAGUAAUGUCUGGGAAACUGCCUGAUGGAGGGGGAUAACUACUGGAAACGGUAGCUAAUACCGCAUACCAUCAGAUGUGCCCAGAUGGGAUUAGCUAGUAGGUGGGGUAACGGCUCACCUAGGCGACGAUCCCUAGCUGGGCUGAGAGGAUGACCAGCAAAACGGGAACGUGGACACGGUCCAUACUCCUACGGGAGGCAGCAGUGGGGAAUAUUGAACAAUGGGCGCAAGCCUGAUGCAGCCAUGCCGCGUGUGUGAAGAAGGCCUUCGGGUUGUAAAGCACUUUCAGCGGGGAGGCGUUACCCGCAGAAGAAGCACCGGCUAACUCCGUGCCAGCAGCCGCGGUAAUUC